rnacentral:sRNA from 1 species
GGAGGUUCGACUCGAGCGAAGCGAGAGAACGUUGCGCCAGCAACGGCCCGCAGGGCGAGCCACGAAGUGGCGAGUAAUCCUCUAUCACCGACCA